AUGCUUCUUUCUCUCCUCUCACCAACCAGCCAUGACGAUUUCUCAAAAAAAAAAAAAAAACCAGCCAUGAACGCCGCCUCCCCUUCUACCAGCCAUGGCGUUCUCCCCCAACCCUCCUGCUACAACGGCGCCACCCGACAGCGGUGUUGCAAUCAGCACCAGCCGGAGCUGGAGACGACGUACAUAGCUGCAACCGGCACCUACUCAAGGUGCUUCAACUGCUUUGAAAAAAGUUUCUACCGGCAUAGAAAAAAGCUUCAACCAUGGAGAAAAGCUACAACCGAUGUAGAGGAAAAGCUUCAAACGUGA
rnacentral:rRNA from 1 species